GCUAGGUUGACGUUCCCCGUGGUGCUGCUAGGUUGACGUUCGGUUGACGUUCCCUGUGGUGCUGCUAGGUUGACGUUCCCCGUGGUGCUGCUAGGUUGACGUUCCCCGUGGUGCUGCUAGGUUGACGUUCCCCGUGGUGCUGCUAGGUUGACGUUCCCUGUGGUGCUGC